UGGCCAUGUUGGUUAACAGAUCCUCAUCUGCUGGACGUCUGGCGAUGAUCUUUAUCGGUUGACUCCAGUUGCCACCCCGUUUACUUUGAGAAAAUUAGAGUGCUAAAAGCAAGCUCCCGCCUAUUUAUAUUGCAUGGAAUAAUGAAAUAAGAUCUCGAUUUUAUUUCGUUGGUUUUAGAAAUUGAGAUAAUGAUUAAUAGGAUCAGAGGGGGGCGUACGUACUGUGGUGUGAGAGGUGAAAUUCUUGGAUCGCCACAGGACGAACAGCAGCGAAGGCGUUCGCCAAGAAUGUUUUCAUUAAUCAAGAACGAAAGUCUGAGGUUCGAAGACGAUUAGAUACCGUCCUAGUUCAAACCAUAAACGUUGCCAACUGUCUUUUAGAUGCGGUUAUUUAUAUGACUCAUCUGGCGGAUCUCGAGAAAUCUAAUUUUUUAGGUUCCGGGGGAAGUAUGGUUGCAAAGCUGAAACUCAAAAGAAUUGACGGAAGGACACACUAUAAGUGCAGCCUGUGGCCUAAUUUGACUCAACACGGGAAACCUUACUCGGCCAGGACACUUUUAGGAUUGACAGAUUGAGAGCUCUUUCUUGAUUAGGUGGGUGGUGGUGCAUGGUCGUUCGUAGUUCGUGGAGCGAUUUCUCUGAUUAAUUUCGAUAACGAACGAGACUCCGGCUUACUAAAUAGUCUAAAGUUCGAAGGGACUUUCAAGACUUCUUAGCAGGAUAAGCGG
rnacentral:rRNA from 1 species